rnacentral:lncRNA from 1 species
CUCUUAAUUGAUGCAGACAAAAUGUUGUCGUCAUUGUGUUCCAAUAUUGCUAUCAUGUUAAAUUAUAAAAUUCAUCUUAACAUAGACAUAUUACUGACAUGAUUGUUUUACUAUGAAGAUAUAUAUAUGUACUAAAAAGUGCGAAUUUUUCCAGUUUUGGUUGAUGCAGUCAAAUCAAAUUAUGUUUCACCAGUCAGUCUGCGGUAUCAACAUUACUAAAUUUGGUUGACGA